rnacentral:rRNA from 1 species
GACGAACGUUGGCGGCGUGCUUAAUACAUGCAAGUCAACUGAAGCACCGGUAGCAAUACUGGUGUGGAGGUGGCGCACGGGUGAGUAACACGUAGGUAAUCUGCCUUCAGGUCUGACAUAACUCCGGGAAACCGAAGCUAAUAUCAGAUGAUGCAGCGGCUUGACAUCAAGACAGUUGUUAAAGCUUCGGCGCCUGAAGAUGAGCCUGCGCUGAUUAGCUAGUUGGCGGGGUAACGGCCCACCAAGGCAACGAUCAGUAGCUGGUCUGAGAGGAUGAUCAGCCACACUGGAACUGAGACACGGUCCAGACUCCUACGGGAGGCAGCAGUAAGGAAUAUUGCUCAAUGGGAGAAAUACCUGAAGCAGCAACGCCGCGUGAGGGA